AGAUUUGAAGAACAUGGCGCAAAAUAUGCAGCCGAAGUACAAAUAAUUAUGACAAAUGUUAAGAAAUUGUUGAGCAAUGUAAUAAAGUAAUUACUUUUCAAAUAAGUUACCUUACAUGUUAUGUUGGCUGACAAUUUGUUAGCUACGCUGUCCUUACGAACCACAUAGCAUAUCAUUACAGCAUGUACCGGUGUUAUUUGGCUACUUAUACAUCAAACUUGUCAGUAUAUUAACUAUAGGCUAUCUAACUACCCGUGUCAUAGGUUUAUUGACUUGAUUAUUCCCGUCAUUCUUUGUUUAGCUAAAUGUUAUAGUCGUUGUGCGUUCUCAAUGGAUAUUCGGGUGCUUUCGUAAAUUCGCUCUGGCUAUCAACUCCGAUUUCGCCUGAGUGUACGCGCGCUCAACACUGGUUGAAUAUGGCCGGUGUCAGUAAACGUCGGGGAAAAAGCGUUAUUAAAUUGUUGCAAGCAGCACAUUCAGUCACCAACGCUCUGGAUAACAUGAAAACUGUAACAUGAAAACUGCCUAAACAGCUGUGCUUGGGUCCUGAAGGACGCCUCACUGUCCUCAGAGCUGUUUGGCUUCUAUGAGAGGACCAUCUCUACCAGCACUCAUGGGUCACCCAAGGCCCAAAUCACCCUGACUUGAUAGGUGACCAGUCGCCUGUAAGCGGUGGACAGCCUCCCUAUGAGCCGGGCGCUAGGCUUCGGAGCCAAAUACCUGCAGGAUCACUUCUCUUCCUGGGCCAGACAGGGUGGAUAUGUACAUACAAACAGAGAUAUAUAUUGCCUAUAGUACUGGAGGUCCACCUUCUUGCUUCUAUCAAUGAUCUACAGCUGACAAAAAUGUCAAUGCUAUUUUGUGAGAUGUUGAGCAAUGAUCAAUACAGUUUUAAUUUCUCUCUCAACAGGAGGAAGCUUUUGUGAAUGAUGAUGAGGAGGUAGUAGACUGAGCCAGAGGGAUUUUCCCCAUUCUAUACCCCCAUUGUCUUCUUCCCGAUUAUCCACUCUUUUCCCAAAGUAUGCACUUGCGCAUUUUCUGUCAUGGAUCAGAAUUUGAUUGGUGUAAUUAUUGGCUAAAGGAAGUUCCCACCAUUGUUAAAUCUAUGACAGGAGGGAAAGGGUGGAUAAUUGGGAUCUAGCUCUCUAACCCCUAGAGAAGUUUCAACUCAGUUUCAAACGUUGAUUUUGCACAACGAAACAUGUACAUAGACAUAUAGAUGACUGUCUUCCAGAGCCAUAGGAUAUGAGGGAAACUGUUCAUCUCAAGCCCCAUUCCAUCUUUUGAAUUAUAAACGUAUAUGAUAUAAGAAUGUAUAUGAAAGUACAGUAUUCAGGUGUUUUUGUUACAACAUUUUAAUUUGGACUAUAGGAAUGUAAAACAUAGACAUCUGUUGAAUGAAACAUAUUUACUUGUAUUAUUUUACAUUAUAUUUAGUUAUUUACUUUUUUAUUGUAAAAAUGAUGAUGAGACUGCAUACCAUUGAUCUAGCCUUGUCACACCGUGAUCUGUUUCACCUGUCCUUGUGCUUGUCUCCUCCCCCCUCCAGGUGUCGCCCAUCUUCCAUAUUAUCACCUGUGUAUUUAUACCUGUGUUCUGUCUUGAUUGUUGCCAGUUUGUCUUGUUUGUUCAAGCUUACCAGCGGUUUUCCUGUCAGCGCCUAUUGUUUCCAAGCCUUGCUUUGCUAGUCCUCCUGGUUUUGACCGAUGCCUGACCCUGCACCGUUGCUCCACCUCUGGAUUGCUGAACCCUGCCUGACCCUGAGUCUGCCUGCCGUCCUGUACCGUCGCCUAACCCUUGAUUUUCGACCCCUUCCUGCCUUGACCUGUCUUUGCCUGCCCCUGUUUGCUACAGUAAACAGGGUUACUUCGACAGUCUGCAUCUGGGUCUUACCUUGAUUCUUGAUAAGCCUAUACUGUCAGAUCCAAAUAAUGUUUACAUAAAGCAACAUUACCAAAGAUGUCAACAUUCCAGACCUCCAGGACAUGUCCUCAGUUGAUCCAGAGAUGGAACCACUAUAUGGUUAAAUCAUGACUGGACCAACAACUGGGGCAGCUACUGUAGCCUACGUAUACUGUGUGGAAGUGCUUCUAUUCUGAGUGGUAUAUGGUCAAACGGUAAUUCUGUGUGCUGAGUCUAUGCAUUGGAAUGUCUGCCUUAUUUGUUUAAUAAGACCAAUUAAACAAAUUCCAUGUUAUGAUUAUAGUGUUCAAUGUUAACACUGAUUUAGACAGCUUUGUGACUGUUUGAUUUGUUAUUAAUUUAUUGAAUAAAAAUAGAUAUACUGUGCUCCUGAGUGGCGCAGAGGUCUAAGGCACUGCAUCUCAGUGCUAGAGGCGUCACUACAGACCCUGAUUUCGAAUCCAGGCUGUUUCACAACUGGCCGUGAUUGCGAGUCCGCACAAUUGGCCCAGCGUCAUCCGGGUUUGGCCGGUGUAGGCCGUCAUUGUAAAUAAGAUUUUGUUGUAAGAAUGAUGAUGAUCUAGCCUUGUCAUGCCCUGAUCAGUUUCACCUGUCCUUGUGCUUGUCUCCUUACUUGCCUAGUUAAAUACAAAAUACUGAGAAGACUCCUAA